rnacentral:rRNA from 1 species
GACAGAGGGUGCAAACGUUGCUCGGAAUCACUGGGCGUAAAGAGCGUGUAGGCGGUUCGGUAAGUCUGUCGUGGAAUCCUGAGGCUCAACCUCGGGCGUGCGAUGGAUACUGCCGGGCUAGAGGAUGGUAGAGGCGAGUGGAAUUCCCGGUGUAGCGGUGGAAUGCGUAGAGAUCCGGAAGAACACCGGUGGCGAAGGCGGCCUGCUGGGCAGUUGCUGACACUGAGGCGCGACAGCGUGGGGAGCAAACAGG